rnacentral:lncRNA from 1 species
CUGCGCCAAGCCUCCUACUCACCGGCUAGGUGUUUCGGCUCUGGUUCCGCGAGCUCAUCGGUGGUCGCCCCGAGGGCAGCCUUGGACGCAAACGACCCCAUGCGCACCUCGCAAACCGCCAGCCUCGAGGAUGAUGGCUGCAGAGUCUAGUCCCUCCUCUUCCCGACCAGCGGCAUUAUGAGAAUCUGCAGUGAUGCUACUUCCGUUGUUCCUGAUAUUGGUAAUGCAACAUAGGACAAGAGUGAUGGUGACUAUGAUUACCUAGGAUUAUUGUCAGACCCACUUGGAGGACAGACUUCAGCCAGGCUCCCCAGCUGGAGCUAAGCCAG